ACACUGUGUGCCCGUCGUUUAUUGGAUCUGCGUGUAGUCUCUGCUACUGGGUCUGCGCACUUGAACCCUCUCUGCAGCCCUGUGUUCCGGGGAGCGCUCUUGAGGGAAAGAGCAGUUUGGGGAAGGUAGACCUGGGAGAAGAUGUGCCAGCGAGGGAAGGAGGUGGCCAGCUCCUGAGGAAGACCUCGGUGCCGUGGCUGUCCUAGUCAUCGCCGAUGGAAGAUCCCAUCCCUGUGUGGAAUGUCUAAACAUCUUUUAUUAGUGGAAACCUUAUUUUGCUAUAAAAUGCACUCAGCAUCUUAAUUGAAACCAGCAUCUGCGUGGCUCUGAUUCAUCUGCUAUGGUUUAUGGAGCUUCAGAUCUAAGGCGUCCAGGGUCCUCUGCGAUGACAAUAUGACUAAUAGUAAAGGAAGAUCUGUUCCGAAUAAAGCAAGCGGUGGUCCGAGCAGCGGAGGAGGGUUUGUAGCCUGGACCUCCAGCUUACAUACAGUUCAGUCGGACAAGUUUCUAAACUUACUGUCGAGUAUGGUUCCAGUCAUUUACCAGAAAAACCCGGAAGAUAGGCACAAAAAGGCCAACGGCCUUUGGCCAGAGGGGUUAUCAGCUGCGGGACAGACGUUCGGUACCAGGUCUGAGCCCCAUGUGGAGUACCACAGAGUCUCGGAGCCGACUUUCCAUGGCAACAACGGGCACACGCCAUUGAGCUACAGCCCGAAGUACGACGACUAUGCCAACUACAAUUACUGUGACGCCGGGGAGGCUUCCGAGACCACGGCCAUGCUGCAGGCCGAGGAGCUGCCCAGCGACGGCGAGGAAGAUGUCAUCCUGGAGGCGAACCCGAAGCUCCCCAAGGAGUCCAGCGGCAUCAUGGCCCUGCAGAUCCUGGUGCCGUUCCUGCUGGCCGGCUUCGGGACCGUUUCCGCCGGCAUGGUUUUGGACAUAGUCCAGCACUGGGAGGUGUUCAAAAAAGUAACAGAAGUUUUCAUUUUAGUUCCUGCACUACUUGGUCUCAAAGGGAACUUGGAAAUGACAUUGGCAUCUAGAUUAUCCACUGCAGUAAAUGUUGGGAAGAUGGAUUCACCCAUUGAAAAGUGGAACCUAAUAAUUGGCAACUUGGCUUUAAAACAGGUUCAGGCCACAGUGGUCGGUUUUCUAGCAGCCGUGGCGGCGGUUAUAUUGGGCUGGAUUCCGGAGGGGAAGUACCACCUUGAUCACUCCAUACUGUUGUGCUCCAGCAGCGUGGCAACUGCCUUCAUCGCCUCUCUCCUGCAGGGAAUAAUCAUGGUUGGGGUUAUCGUUGGCUCAAAGAAGACUGGUAUAAAUCCUGAUAAUGUUGCCACACCCAUCGCUGCUAGUUUUGGUGACCUUAUAACGCUUGCCAUAUUGGCUUGGAUAAGCCAGGGUUUGUACUCCUGUCUUGAGAAUUAUUACUACAUCUCUCCAUUAGUUGGUGUCUUUUUCUUGGCUCUAACUCCUAUCUGGAUUAUAGUAGCAGCCAAACAUCCAGCCACGAGGACAGUGCUCCACUCAGGCUGGGAGCCUGUCAUAACAGCUAUGGUUAUAAGUAGCAUUGGAGGCCUUAUUCUGGACACAACUGUAUCCGAUCCAAACUUGGUUGGAAUUGUUGUUUACACACCAGUUAUUAAUGGGAUUGGUGGCAAUUUGGUGGCCAUCCAGGCGAGCAGGAUUUCUACGUACCUCCACUUGCACAGCAUCCCAGGAGAACUGCCUGAUGAGCGCAAAGGCUGCUACUACCCAUUUAGGACGUUUUUUGGUUCAGGAGUAAAUCACAAGUCUGCUCAAGUUCUCCUGCUUUUAGUGAUUCCCGGACACUUAAUUUUCCUCUAUACGAUCCAUCUGAUGAAAAGUGGCCACACUUCUCUAACUGUAAUCUUCGUAGUAGUAUACUUAUUUGCUGCUGUGUUACAGGUGUUCACCUUGCUGUGGAUCGCUGACUGGAUGGUCCGUCACUUCUGGAGGAAGGGAAAGGACCCCGACAGUUUCUCCAUCCCCUACCUAACAGCUCUGGGGGAUCUGCUCGGGACAGCGUUACUAGCCUUAAGUUUUCAUUUUCUUUGGCUUAUUGGAGAUCGAGAUGGAGAUGUCGGAGACUAAUCAAUCCUACAAACUGCUCUCAAGUUACCGAGACGGAAAAGGCAAGAUUACCGCCAAUGGCUUUUUCAGAAAUCUUCAAUCAGUCGUGUGACUUCAGCCAGGGCACUGUGCCGUUGGCCCUGAUUCCAUUAAAUGGCCUUAACGUUUUUCUAAAGGAAGUUGUGUCGAACCAGAAUGAACAGUAUUUAUGCUAAUUUCACACAGACAUAGAAUCAAGCUCAAUCUCCGAAGUUAAUUAAGUAGAAACAAGCCUAUAGGAUGUUUACAAUGAAUCAUUUUAAAAACCACAGACACAGCAGAAAUGUACUUGAUUAUUGUUUAACUUAUAAUGCCAGUUUAGAGGAGAGUUCUACUUUAACCUCUCUUGUCUUGCGGAUGUGUGGUGCCUACCGCAGAGCAUACCAUAAAACGAAAAGGGCCCAACCACGCUUUCAGUAGUUUUCAACUAUCCCCACCUCUCUGCUAGAUGGGAACCAUUUGCCAAUACCUUACUCCUCACCUGACCUAAAUAGGUCCUGCUGAGCAUAAGACAAAUGGACUCUGACCUGCUGCUAUGAAUUUCCCUGUGCCAAUGCUAAUUCAGUUUCAUCUCUGCAAGUCCUUGGCAGCUGCCCUUGGAACACGGAAUGACCUUGAGAGAUCUUUCAUGAAAGCAACGGGUCAUUUUUGAUCAUUGGCUUGUUGAAAGAAUGUUGAUAUUUUUCAGAAGACUUAAUAGUCAAGAACAGGAGACAAUCCAAGCUGCAUUUGUAGAGACGAGAAAGUAUGUGUGUGUGUGUGUGUGUGUGUGUGUGUAGAGAGAGAGAGAUUUUCGAUGGACAACCGAAUCUUGGCUUGUUGAUAGCAAAAAUCCUAGUGCUGUUAUAAUGUUAGCAUUAUAUGGUAGUUAUUCUUAAAUACACUUUAUUGACAUACUUUUGUUAUUUGGUCCAAAAAUUUUGUUACUGUCCAGAAUUUAGUAUUUCUUAUCUACGUUGUAAUUGUUUCUUAUUAAAACCACUGUGCUACUUAAUAUGUGGGAUUUAGAAGGGGCAGGUGAUUAAUUUGUUCUUCUGAAGAAGUCUGUUGCUAUUUUUAGGCACACCAUUUUAAAAGAGAAGUUAUGUAGUGGGUUACUUCAGUGGUUGCUCAUGCCUGCACAUUUUAUCUGUUUGUACAGAUUCAUUUUUACACUGCUGAGUCUCAAACAGUUUCUAACCUCUGGUCUAUAUUCCAAACACUCAGUUAUUCAAUAGGUAAGCAUUUUUCUAUCACAUAUAGUUCAUUUUUAAGACCAUCAGAUAUCAAAUAAUUUAGUUGAUAAAGGGAAGAAAAAUGCACAUUAGCUUUGAUCUUCAUGGUUUAGUUGUGAGUUAGUGUUAAUACUAUAGAAACAGUAGGUUGUUUAUAAAUAUAUUGGGGAAAGUGUUCCUAUUAAACUCUUUAAAAUAAGGGGACUGUGGUUUAGAGCUAUAUAUUUUUGCUUAUUUUAAAACUUUAAUUAUUCCAUUCUUCUGCCUUAUAAUGAAGCUUCUAAGGCAGGGAACUGAACGAAUUAUAGAAUUUCUCCUUUGGAGAGUUAUAAUGUCUUAUAGCGAUCAUUCUUAUGAAAGAAAGAAUGAUUAAGUUAAGCUGAUGAAUAUUUAUCUGCAAAGACUUUUAUUUUAAAAAAAAUCCAUAAAUAAUUUAUUUGAUUUUAUUGUAAAGUACUGGUAAAUUACUUGUUUACAUUUGCACCAUGUGAUUCAUAAGCAUUUAUGUAUUUUCCCAAUGGUUUAUAUUUUGAUUUUUUAAUAUAAAAUAGUAAACAGCAAGCCACAUUGUUUUAAAGAUUGAUUUUUGGAGAGAGGAAGGAAGAGAGACAGAGAGAGAAAGAAACAUCGAUGUGAGAGAGAAACAUCAAUUGGUUGCUUGAACCCGCAACUAAGUAUGUGCCCUGACUCGGAAUCAAACCCACCACCUCUUGGUGUACGUCCAACCAACUGAACCACAUUGGCCAGGGCCAGGAAACCACAUUUUUAAAGCAUUUAUCAACAACCGUAGUACAUUGACAGUACCUGUGACAUAGGUCAGGUAGGUCUUUCUUUCUCUGGAUUAUAGCAAAAGAAACGGAAACUCAGAGAAGCUACAUUUACGUGGCUGCGAAGUGACCAGAUUGUGACCAAAGACAAGGUGUCCAAUCUCCUGAGCCAGUACUCUUCCUAUGACCCUCUCCCCCUCCCCCCCAAAUGCACCAGGAGCACCUUCCUGAUUCCCCGGGAGGAGAGCAGUGGAGACGCAGGGCUGGCCAUAGCACAGAGCAUUGCUGCUGCUUUUAGAUCUCAGGCAGGGAGACCUCCAUAUAAUGUGUCUUGCUGGUCAGUGUACCAACUGUGAAUUAUUCAUGUUCCUAAGCCCUAGGAAAACACAGAUAAAUAAAAACGGUAGAAUAAAAAAGAACAAUGCCUUAUUCCAUAGAACAUUUCAUUGCUACCACCCUUCCCAGGUGCAGUCAUUCUAGAUAGACAAUGAGAAAGAACUAGGAUGACUGACUUAUAGCUCCUUUCUCAACCUUGGUUACAGCAACAAAACGUCUAAUAGGCAUAUGAUAAAAAAUAAACGUGGAAAAAAUCAGUCAUCAAUUAACUGGAUUAAUUUAUAAGAGGGAUGUAGAUUCCUCUGAAACAUUUUACUGUUUUCUGAAAGCCUUUAGAUAAAUAUGCAAAUGCUAAGAUGACCUAUUUACCCACAAAAAUAAUUUAUCAGUCUUAAAUAAUGUGAAUUCACAGUAUUUUUAUACAAUAUAAAAACUCCUGCUUUCCAAACUUCUUCCUUUCACUAAUCUACCAGGCACUUUAUUUACGCACAGAUAAUUUUUUUAAAACAUUUUUUAUUCUUGGUUACCAACCAUUUUUUUUUUUUUUUUCUUAAAAAACUCAUUUCUCAGAACAUGAUAAAAUGGGAACUUAGGGUAAUGUAUCUUCUGGAAGACAUCAAAAUUCCGCAUCGAGACUAUCGGUGAUGUAGCCAAAUGAAGUAUAUUUUAAAAAGUCUUUCAGUAUUUGGGCUUCUUUGCCAUAUAAUAUAUCUGUGGUAUGGUAGUCUACCCAUUUAUUAUGGGCAUCUUCCUUCCUUGAAUUGUUGUAAACCCAAAUAAGAAUAAAAUGGAAGAAAUA